rnacentral:rRNA from 1 species
AGCAGCCGCGGUAAUUCCAGCUCCAAUAGCGUAUAUUAAAGUUGUUGCAGUUAAAAAGCUCGUAGUUGAAUUUCGGGAUCAGUACGCUGGUCAUGCCUUUGGUAUGCGCUGGUGUCACUGGUUUCUCCCUUCUGAAGAACCGUGAUGUCAUUAAUUUGGUGUCGCGGGGAAUCAGGACUGUUACUUUGAAAAAUUAGAGUGUUUAAAGCAGGCUCACGCUUGAAUACAUUAGCAUGGAAUAAUGAAAUAGGACGUUUGACCCUAUUUUGUUGGUUUCUAGGAUCGACGUAAUGAUUAAUAGGGAUAGUUGGGGGCAUUAGUAUUCAAUUGUCAGAGGUGAAAUUCUUGAAUUUAUUGAAGACUAACUACUGCGAAAGCAUUUGCCAAGGAUGUUUUCAUUAAUCAAGAACGAAAGUUAGGGGAUCGAAGACGAUCAGAUACCGUCGUAGUCUUAACCAUAAACUAUGCCGACUAGGGAUCGGAUGAUGUUAAUUUUAUAAUGACUCAU